AAACAGAACAGAAGUAGAAUAGGGCUGGCUGGCUGGACGACUGACUGAAUGGCUAGCUGACUGAACGCAGGCGGAAACGACAACAUAACAUCAAUGACACGACAGUGAACGAGUGGAAACAGAGGACUUAAAUACACAGACUGAUGAGGAUGAUAAUGAGAGACCGUAGAGUGAUCACCGAGACAACCAGAGAAGUGAAGAGUCCCUUUAAACCUGGAGGAGAGGAGCACCAGGGACAGAGCCAAGGUCACCACAGAGAACGGGAUGCUUUCAUAUUCCCGUCCUGGGAGGUUGUACGGGAUGACGAUGCGGUUCCUUCCUGGUGGGCCGUGUUUAGCUGAGAGAGACUCAAAGUGUUCCCACACUCCAUCAUCAUCUCGAAGAGGGCUAACCGUGAUGUUUGGGACCAUCUGUGCUCCAGCUUUCUUCAUAAAAAACUCUGUGCUGAGGCCUCAGUUUUCCUGUAGCGACACCGUACACUAAACCAGAAGUGAUGCAGUUCCAGGGAGAAUACAGGAGCACGUCAGUGAUGGUGGGCAGAGGCAGCGUGCUUGUGUCCCCACUGCCAACCAGUUGCAGCAGAUGGCCCCG
ensembl:lncRNA